AGCGAACGCUGGCGGCAGGCCUAAUACAUGCAAGUCGAACGGUCUCUUCGGAGGCAGUGGCGGACGGGUGAGUAACGCGUGGGAACGUGCCCUUUGGUACGGAACAACUGAGGGAAACUUCAGCUAAUACCGUAUGUGCCCUUCGGGGGAAAGAUUUAUCGCCAUUGGAGCGGCCCGCGUUGGAUUAGCUAGUUGGUGGGGUAAUGGCCCACCAAGGCGACGAUCCAUAGCUGGUCUGAGAGGAUGAUCAGCCACACUGGGACUGAGACACGGCCCAGACUCCUACGGGAGGCAGCAGUAGGGAAUCUUGCGCAAUGGGCAAAGCCUGACGCAGCCAUGCCGCGUGAAUGAUGAAGGUCUUAGGAUUGUAAAAUUCUUUCACCGGGGACGAUAAUGACGGUACCCGGAGAAGAAGCCCCGGCUAACUUCGUG
rnacentral:rRNA from 1 species